UAAGCGGAGGAAAAGAAACUAACAAGGAUUCCCCUAGUAACGGCGAGUGAAGCGGGAAGAGCUCAAAUUUGAAAUCUGGUAGCCUUCGGCUGCCCGAGUUGUAAUCUAGAGAAGUGUUUUCCGUGCCGGCCCAUGUACAAGUCCCUUGGAACAGGGCGUCAUAGAGGGUGAGAAUCCCGUCCUUGACAUGGACCCCCGGUGCUUUGUGAUACACUUUCAACGAGUCGAGUUGUUUGGGAAUGCAGCUCAAAAUGGGUGGUGAAUUCCAUCUAAAGCUAAAUAUUGGCGAGAGACCGAUAGCGAACAAGUACCGUGAGGGAAAGAUGAAAAGCACUUUGGAAAGAGAGUUAAACAGUACGUGAAAUUGUUGAAAGGGAAACGAUUGAAGUCAGUCAUGCUCUUUGGAUUCAGCCGUUCUGCGGUGUAUUUCCAUUGAGUGGGGUCAACAUCAGUUUUGACCGCUGGAUAAAGGCACUAGGAAGGUAGCACUCUCGGGUGAACUUAUAGCCUAGCGUCAUAUACAGUGGUUGGGACUGAGGAACGCAGCAUGCCUUUAUGGCCGGGAUUCGUCCACGUACAUGCUA
rnacentral:rRNA from 1 species